GGGUUGUGAGGUUAAGCGACUAAGCGUACACGGUGGAUGCCUUGGCAGUCAGAGGCGAUGAAGGGCGUGCUAAUCUGCGAUAAGCGCCGGUAAGGUGAUAUGAACCGUUAUAACCGGCGAUACCCGAAUGGGGAAACCCAGUGUGACUCGUCACACUAUCAUUAACUGAAUCCAUAGGUUAAUGAGGCGAACCGGGGGAACUGAAACAUCUAAGUACCCCGAGGAAAAGAAAUCAACCGAGAUUCCCCCAGUAGCGGCGAGCGAACGGGGAGGAGCCCAGAGCCUGAAUCAGCAUGUGUGUUAGUGGAAGCGUCUGGAAAGGCGCGCGAUACAGGGUGACAGCCCCGUACACAAAAGCGCAUGUGCUGUGAGCUCGAUGAGUAGGGCGGGACACGUGGUAUCCUGUCUGAAUAUGGGGGGACCAUCCUCCAAGGCUAAAUACUCCUGACUGACCGAUAGUGAACCAGUACCGUGAGGGAAAGGCGAAAAGAACCCCGGCGAGGGGAGUGAAAAAGAACCUGAAACCGU
rnacentral:rRNA from 1 species